AUACGAAAGGUGCAAGCGUUGUUCGGAAUUACUGGGCGUAAAGAGUACGUAGGCGGAUCGUUAAGUUAGAGGUGAAAUCCCAGGGCUCAACCCUGGAACUGCCUUUAAUACUGGCGAUCUAGAGAUCGAGAGAGGUGAGUGGAAUUUCCAGUGUAGAGGUGAAAUUCGUAGAUAUUGGAAAGAACACCAGUGGCGAAGGCGGCUCACUGGCUCGAUACUGACGCUGAGGUACGAAAGCGUGGGGGGCAAACAGGAUUAGAAACCCCAGUAGUCC
rnacentral:rRNA from 1 species